rnacentral:lncRNA from 1 species
AUGCUCGAUGCACUUUGCCAGGCUGAGAUUGGUCGGAUACCCACGGUGGAUGCUCUCUCCAAAAGAAAUGUCAUGUUAAACUAAUGUUGCAUGAUAUAUACAUACAGUUUGGCAUCUGGUGAGUAAGUGGUGUAAUAUCCCGCCUUUCUUCACCUUUUCAAAUCGGGAUUAAUUAUUCGAGCUACACAAAGGCUUGAUCCAGGUCUCAACUACAAAGAAGAUCGUGCAGUGCACACAAUGGGCCAGAUACGAGACAGUUCUCAACAACAUAAAUAUUGUCCAUCAAAAUAGGUUAAUGAAAGAAGAUUAAAGGCACAACUUUCAUGUGGAUAAAACAUAGGAUGUGUAAUUUCAAGUUUUGGUUCCCUUAUGUGUCCGUAAGAUUGUGUUUGGGCAGGUUCUAGCUCCUUGUUAGUUCUCUAUUUUUCUAAGGGUGUAAGGGGUGCUCACCUAAGAGGUGAGUCCCCUCUCUUACACAUAACCAACCAAAUAGUGCCACGUCAACUCCCCUCUAAUACUCCCCUAAUACCCCUUUUUUAUGGCGGCACUCCCCUCUUAGGUGAGUUCGAUUUUUUUUUUUUUUUUUUUUUUUUGUAAAAUUAUGCAUGUUUAUAAAUUAAAUAAAAGACAUUUCAUUAAAUUUAAAAAAAAUACAUUCAAACUAGAAAAUAAAAAACACAUUCAAAGUAGAAAAUAAAAAUUACAUUAAAACUAGAAAAUUAAAAUUUUAGAAAUCGCAUGGCCACCCGUACUUGUUAGCGAUUUCGCGCUUUCGGGCGAGGAUGAACGGCAACAUACUUGGCGGAACAUCGUCGUGCGGCUUAAGGAAUGUUUUCAUAUCUCGAUCGUAAUUGUAGUUUUUCAUCGUCUCGCGUUGUUCCGAUAUGAGCUCGCGAGCCUCCGACUCUCUUUUUUUCCUCAAUUCGAUCGCCUCCAAUUCUACCGCUUGCUUCGCUUCUUUCAUGGCGGUGUACACUUUGAAUUGUGCCGCCAACUCGGCCGAGCUUCCCUCGGACGAUGUAGCUUGACGCUUGUCUCGCCGUUGUGGUCUUUGUGGCGAGGGGUCUUCGUUCAUAUCCGGUAUCGAAGGGUCCACGUCAACGGGCUUUCUUUUAUGUGCCGAACCUUCACCUUCCUCACCCAUCAAUGGGACUUGGGCCCAUUUCUCGUGUCUUCGAACGACCUCCCACGCCUUGAUGUGUUGAAAACCGUUCGGAAAUCUAUCUUUAAAUUCUUUUAACACGACUUUCAUCACGUCAAGAUCCUUACAUCCGCUUCCUCGUGUGCGAUCCUACAU